rnacentral:lncRNA from 1 species
GUUAAGGCUCUGGGACCAACGCUGGGCGAACCAGCUCCGCUCCGGAGGGGUCUGCGCGGCUGGCCUCGCCCGCCCCCUAGCGGACCCGUGCGAUAGUGCAGCCUCAGCCCCAGCGCACAGCGCCGCAUCCAGACGCUGUCCGCGCGCGCAGCCUGGGAGGCGCUCCUCGCUCGCCUCCUGUACCCAUCCAGCGACCAGCCAGGCUGCGGCGAGGGGAUUCCAACCGAGGCUCCAGUGAGAGACCUCAGCUUAGCAUCACAUUAGGUGCAGCCGGCAGGCCAUCCCAACUCGGGCCGGGAGCGCACGCGUCACUGGGGCCGUCAGUCGCCGUGCAACUUCCCCGGGGGGAGUCAACUUUAGGUUCGCCUGCGGACUCGGUGCAGUGGAAGCCGCUGAACAUCCCGAGGAACUGGCACGCUGGGGGCUCUGGGCUUGUGGCCGGUAGAGGAUUCCCGCUCAUUUGCAGUGGCUCAGAGGAGGUACCUCCAACGGGGAUUUCUGGGGUGGCGGCUGAGCAACCCGAGGCCGGCGG